GGUGAACGCUGGCGGUAGGCCUAACACAUGCAAGUCGAACGGCAGCACAGUACAGCUUGCUGCUUAGGUGUGGCGUGGGGGGGGCGGGUGAGAAAUCCAUGGAACUCCACUUUUUCGGGGGGGAACUCGUAGGAAAAGUAACGCAAAUACCAUAUCCUACCAAGGGGAAAAAGCAGGGGAUUUUGGCCCCUUGCCCUCUGAAGUGACCCGAUGUGGGAUUAGCUAGUUGGCGGGGUAAAGGCCCACCAAGGCGACGAUCCGUAGCUGGUCUGAGAGGAUGAUCAGCCACACUGGAACUGAGACACGGUCCAGACUCCUACGGGAGGCAGCAGUGGGGAAUAUUGGACAAUGGGCGCAAGCCUGAUCCAGCCAUACCGCGUGGGUGAAGAAGGCCUUCGGGUUGUAAAGCCCUUUUGUUGGGAAAGAAAAGCAGCAGGUUAAUACCCCGCUGUUCUGACGGUACCCAAAGAAUAAGCACCGGCUAACUUCGUG
rnacentral:rRNA from 1 species